CCCGCCGGUCCCGAAACCUCACCACAUGCCAAUCACUCCGACGUCUCUCUACAUCUUCAUCCGCCGUCGCCGCCACAUCCUCCACCGCUCCGGCCACCGGUCCACCUCCUCCAGACGCAAUGAUCUACGACCGAUUAGCCGAAGACGUUAAGCACAAAAUCAAACGGCUCGAGAAUCCCGAUUCACGAUUCCUCCAGUACAACUCCCCUCACCCAACCUUAACCGACCACACACCAAUCC
rnacentral:lncRNA from 1 species